UUAUAGUUGCAUGAUAAUGGUCAGCCACCUCGAUAGCUUGCAAGCUGAAACAUUGAAGCUCUUUAGACUCGUUCAUGUAUAUUAUCCACUGUGUUUUAAACUCACGUCUGUCGUCUAGCUAGUUAUCCCAUUUAAUUUCAUAUGUGCUUUGUUGUUAUUAGUCAGCUAUAGUAGCUGGCUGGUUAAGUUAGCAUUAGCCUAGCUAGCUAACACCUCCGACCAUGAGUUCACUAAGCUACUCUCCUCCUGCUAAAGAAGAUGGGGUCUGCUGGACGGAGAAAGAGGGUCUGUGGCUGAACGUUGUCGUGAAAGAGGAGAAAGAAGAGGAGGAUGUCACAGUAACAAACGUAGAGGAUGAGGAUGUUGCAGUGAAAGAAGAGAAAGAGGAGGAUCCCGUUUUUGGAGUGAAGGAGGAGGGAGAGAUAACUGUCAUAUUGGAAGAAGAAGAGGAGGAUACUGGAGAUCUGAUUAACCCCAGAGAGAGACGUAACUAUUGUGGAUCCUCUGGGGAGCCUCAACAACAACAUGAUGCUGAGAAGAGACUCUCCACAUCAGAACAUCUCAAUAAACACCAGCGGAAACCCACAGGGAAGAAACGUCAUCGCUGCUCUGACUGUGGGAAGAGUUACUCAAGAUCAGAUUCACUUAAAGUACACCAGAAAAUUCACACUGGCGAUAAAUCUCACCGCUGCUCUGACUGUGGGAAGAGUUACUCAAGAUCAGAUUCACUCAAAGUACACCAGAGAAUACACACGGCAGAGAAAACAUAUAGCUGUGAUCAAUGUGGGAAGAGUUUCACUUCACCUAGCCAGCUGACUAUACACCAGAGAACACACACAGGAGAGAAACCUUUCCGUUGCUCUGACUGUGGAAAGAGUUUUGUUAUCGCAGGAAAUUUAAAAUCACACCAGAGAACACACACAGGAGAGAAGCCUUAUAACUGUAAUCAAUGUGGGAAGAAUUUUGCUUACUCGAGCAGCCUGAUAGCACAUUUAAAAACACACACAUGAGAGAAUCUACUGCGUUGACUGUGGGGAGACUUUUUCAAAAUCAUCUACAUUACAAUCACACCAGAGAAUUCACACAGGACAGAAAUCUUAUAGUAUUCUAAUGAUGUCACAAUGUAGAAUCCUAAACGUUUGCCCCCUGUUCUAUUGAUUUCAGCAUAAUAUGAAUAUUAGGGGAAAAAUACAGGCUCUGAAUUGAAAGAGUACUAUUUAUGUGAUUUAACAAAAAGUGAUUAACAAAAGAAAGUGUUGCACUUACCACAUCGGUGACCCACUUGAAUCAAAAUGCAACACUUUAAAAUGUAGCGAGCUGUUUUUCUACAAAUUGUCUUCUAAUUAAUGAUGUACACAUUAUUCCCAGAUUCUGUGUGAUAUCGAUUUGAGUGAUGCCAAGUAAGUGUUGCAUUUCUCUUCGUUCUGGGGACUCCUAAAUUUAAAUGCAUCACUCCAAGGUGUAGCUGACUGUCUUCUGCAGGUUGUCCUCUAACCAGUGAGGUAAAAGAUAUCUCCCAUUUCCAUGUGGUUUUUAGUUGUGUUGGUUUCAACAGCAACCUACAACCUGAUUUUUAUCCGAUCGAUGUCCGUAAUUUAUUGCCACUUUGUUAAAACAACAGUGUUUUUGGUGCUCGUUUAAAAAAUUAUUCAAGGAAUAUGAUUAUUAUUGUGUUUGUGUAUAUAGCACAUUUUAUGUUUAGGUUUUGAAUAUAUUACAAACUGUUCCUGCAUAUUGGAUUGAUUUGGACACGUUAAAACUGUGUUUUCACUUUGGGGAUAUCCCCCCUAGCGAUGUUGAAAGAAAGACCGAAGUUCAAUCUACAUUUUUUUUAAAGUAUUGAAGACUUAUUUUUUUUCAACGUUUUUAACUUUAAGUUAAUUAUUGCCAAUACAUAUUAACAAAGGGGGUGGUAUUUCAUCAUAUUUACAUUUCAUGUAACAUUUUAGUAAUCAUAAUUAUUUACGCAACCAACUGACAAUUUGUUUUACUAUCAUAUUGUUUACUAAAAUAAAACUAGAUUAUAUUUCUGGUUGGAUAUUCGGUUUUGAUAUUUCAUAUUACAUAACUGUAAUGUAACAUUUAGUAAUCAUAAUUAUUCAUGCAACUAACUUACAAUUUAUUUUUGUAUAAUUAUAUUGUUUACUAACAAUGUCGUAAAUCAAGCUUAUAGUUUGUGCCAGGAGUCAUUACAUCCUGUUCUUACUAUUUUAAUCAAUGGUCUUUAGAAUGUUCAUUAGUCUUUCAGUUUGUAUUGUUAUUCUUUAGCUUUUUUAUAUCUUCAUGAUUGUUGUAAAUAUUUCAGUUUUUGUCUUUUUUUUUUAUGAUUUUUUUUUCUUCUUUGAAACGCAUUGAUUUGCUUCCAUGUCCGAAAUGUGCAUAAAUAUACGUGUAAAUAAAGCUUGACUUGAUUUGAA